rnacentral:rRNA from 1 species
ACGGAAGGCAGCAGUGGGGAAUAUUGGGCAAUGGGGGCAACCCUGACCCAGCAACGCCGCGUGAAGGAAGAAGGCUUUCGGGUUGUAAACUUCUUUUACCAGGGACGAAGAAAGUGACGGUACCUGGAGAAAAAGCCACGGCUAACUACGUGCCAGCAGCCGCGGUAAUACGUAUGGUGCAAGCGUUAUCCGGAUUUACUGGGUGUAAAGGGAGCGCAGACGGCAUGGCAAGCCAGAUGUGAAAUGCGGGGGCUCAACUCCUGAACUGCAUUUGGAACUGUCAAGCUAGAGUAUCGGAGAGGUAAGUGGAAUUCCUAGUGUAGCGGUGAAAUGCGUAGAUAUUAGGAGGAACACCAGUGGCGAAGGCGGCUUACUGGACGAUAACUGACGUUGAGGCUCGAAAGCGUGGGGAGCAAACAGGAUUAGAUACCCUGGUA